UUAACCGCAGCUUCAGAGCAGGAACUAAGAGUCCGUGUGAACUGUCAUUCUUCUGUUUUCUCCGUAAGAGGACGCAGGAAGUACUUUUAAAACUUAUUUUCUCUUUGCGCAGCACAAACCGUUGCUUUCUGCUUCGCGAGCGGCUGCUGUGAUUUCCCGGGACACCGAUCUCCCGGUGUCCCGAGGAGCGCCCUACUUCCUCGGGCUCCGCCAAGUUCAUGCUCCCAACCGAACUACCCUGGAAAGCGUCUGUUCCUAGAACAGAGCCGCGUUCCCCAGAGACCCAGAAGCGCUGGACUCACAGACACCGUGGUUUACAUCCUAAAACAGUGACAUUGCACAGCCACUGAGGAAUCUACGUGAAACCGGACAUAUGAUGACAAAACUUCCUACCCAUUACUCACUGACACCUCAAUGCAAGUUUCCCCUCCCACCUCUUAUGCCCCCCCAUACGUGAACACACACGUGGACAGAGGCUUCCGCAGGGACGCUGGGGGCCACAUGGCAUGUAAGCAGGGUCCGGCUGGAGGCACCGUUACCCACACUGUCGCCCGGUUGUGAUGUUCCUUUGCAACACGAAAUGAGAGUCCAGCCUCUGGGAACAUCGGCGAAGUGUCUGUAAUUUUCAGACACCUUCACGCUGACUGUGUGGGAGCGUCUGUUUCUGUUUGUUCUCCCGGCUGAUUGCAAAGAUUUUUUAAAACCCAUUUGCUCCUUAACCCAACACAACGGUUCUCCACCAGAUAUCCUGAGCUCUCAGGAUAAGCCCUCGUGCCUGCCGAGAAAGCAUUGGAUUUCCUGGCGUUUUAUUCCCAGUCCUUAGUCCCCGUUCCCGGUGAAGGAGCAGGUGUGGCUGGGGAGGCAGCGAGGAGGCGAGAGAAGGGCUUUGGACCAGGUGGGCUGGCUCCCCCCAGCUCUCCCCUCCCGAGCCGUGGGAUUUCUGCAAGCCUCAAGACGCCGGAUCCCAGUUUUGUUUCUGGAGAAGAGUGAGGCCAGAGGGGAGAAGGGUUUCUCACACUGGGGGCCCGUGCCAGUCGCCUGGAAGUUUCAGGAGCCACAGGAAUAAUUGCAAACUCCCUGUGGGUUCUCCUUCCCUUCGUGGUGAGGAAUGGAAAACGUUCUUUACAGCCAGUUCAUACAGGCAGUUGACCCCUAAGCAACGUGGGAGUGAGGGACGCCAACCCCCACGCAGGCAAAAAUCCGCAUAUAACUUUGGACUCCCUAAAAACUUAACUA